rnacentral:rRNA from 1 species
AGCUCCAAUAGCGUAUAUUAAAGUUGUUGCAGUUAAAAAGCUCGUAGUUGAAAUGUACGUCAGAAACGCCGUCUCUUCAUUAGAGCGCGAAUCUGGCGUGGGCUUUCAAAGCCUCUGUUACUUUGAGAAAAAUAGAGUGUUUCAGGCGGGCCAGAGCUGAAAUAGUGUACCAUGGAAUAACGAAGUGGCUAUCUUUCCGUUUCUUCAAUUUUGGAAGGAUAGCGCGUGGUUGAUAGGAACAGUCGGGGGUAUUCGUAUUGAACAGUCAGAGGUGAAAUUCUUAGAUUUGUUCAAGACGAACUAAUGCGAAAGCAUCUACCAAGGAUGUUU